GCUGGGUGUGGCAGCACACGCCUGUAAUCCCAACUACUCAGGAGGCUGAGACAGGAGGAUGGCAAUUUCUUUCUUUCUUUU
rnacentral:sRNA from 1 species